rnacentral:rRNA from 1 species
UAGCAUAUCAAUAAGCGGAGGAAAAGAAACCAACAGGGAUUGCCUCAGUAACGGCGAGUGAAGCGGCAACAGCUCAAAUUUGAAAUCUGGCCCUAGGCCCGAGUUGUAAUUUGCAGAGGAUGUUUCUGGCGAGGUGCCUUCCGAGUUCCCUGGAACGGGACGCCAUAGAGGGUGAGAGCCCCGUACGGUUGGUCGCUAAGCCUCUGUGAAACUCCUUCGACGAGUCGAGUAGUUUGGGAAUGCUGCUCUAAAUGGGAGGUAUACGUCUUCUAAAGCUAAAUACCGGCCAGAGACCGAUAGCGCACAAGUAGAGUGAUCGAAAGAUGAAAAGCACUUUGAAAAGAGGGUUAAAUAGUACGUGAAAUUGUUGAAAGGGAAGCGCUUAUGACCAGACUUGGACCGGUUGAUCAUCCAUCGUUCUCGGUGGUGCACUCUGCCGGUUCAGGCCAGCAUCAGUUCGUCCCGGGGGAUAAAGGCUUUGGGAAUGUGGCUCUUCGGAGUGUUAUAGCCCACUGCGUAAUACCCUGGGAUGGACUGAGGUUCGCGCUCCGCAAGGAUGCUGGCGUAAUGGUCAUCAGUGACCCGUCUUGAAACACGGACCAAGGAGUCGUCUUCGUAUGCGAGUGUUCGGGUGUCAAACCCCUACGCGUAAUGAAAGUGAACGUAGGAGAGAGCUUCGGCGCAUCUCCGACCGAUCCUGAUGUUCUCGGAUGGAUUUGAGUAAGAGCAUACGGGGCCGGACCCGAAAGAAGGUGAACUAUGCUUGUAUAGGGUGAAGCCAGAGGAAACUCUGGUGGAGGCUCGCAGCGGUUCUGACGUGCAAAUCGAUCGUCAAAUAUGAGCAUGGAGGCGAAAGACUAAUCGA